GUAAACAAUCAUUACCACAGAGAAUAAAAUCAAGU
rnacentral:misc_RNA from 1 species